rnacentral:rRNA from 1 species
CCUACGGGAGGCUGCAGUGAGGAAUAUUGGUCAAUGGCCGUAAGGCUGAACCAGCCAAGUCGCGUGAAGGAAGAAGGAUCUAUGGUUGGUAAACUUCUUUUACAGGGGCAUAACGGUAUCCGCUUGUUGAUAUUUUCAUCUACCCUAUCAAUAAGCCACGGCUAACUCUGUUCCAGCAGCCGCGGUAAUACGGAGGAUGUGAUCGUUAUCCGGAUUUUGUGGGUUUAAAGGGUGCGUAGGUUGGAUGUUAAGUCAGAGGUGAAAGUUACGGGCUCAACCAUAAGAUUGACUUUGAAACUGGAGGACUUGAGUGUGGUUGAGGUAGACGGAAUGCGUGGUGUAGCGGUGAAAUGCAUAGAUAUCACGCAGAACUCCGAUUGCGAAGGCAGCUUACUGGGCAAUAACUGACGCUGAAGCGCGAAAGCGUGGGGAUCAAACAGGAUUAGAUACCCCAGUAGUC